AAGACAUGGUGUGGGCACCUCCUUAGUAGUUCCUUAAAUGCCUCCCAAGCUUUAUAUAUUGAUUCUCUACCUAAUUGAGUGAAUGAUGUGAUAUUAUUUAUAAGUUC